CGAUUAGCUACGUCAAUUAUGGAAACAUAACAGCCUGGAACACGUUUUUUUGAGCGUGCAAGGUUGGGGAAUCUUCCCACAAACCAUUCUUUCCGGAUUUUGGGGCUGGAAAAUGGAUUAGGAUGGCCAGAUGUUGGUCUUUUAUUGCUAAAAUACAAUGUCUUGGGUCCUUGCUUGUCUUGGAGCCAUUUCUUUAAAUCCAAAUCAGACUUGGAAGUUAGGAGAGAGGGGAGAGCUUUUUGGUGUGAGGAGAACGAAACUCUAAGUGUGCAGAGGCGUUGGAGCUUGCUUGGUCUACCGAGGAAAGGGAAGAGUUACUCUCUUGGAAGAAGAAGUUAAGAUCUUCAAGAGAUGUUAUUGCAGAUGUGAUGGCUGAUGUUUCUGAACAUGCAUAAAGGAUGAAAGAGAGAUGGGAUAGAUGACUGGGAAUGUAUUUGUUUAUAUUCGAUCCUGACUAUUUAAACGUUUUAUUUUCGGAAUAAUCGGUUUGUAAUAAAUAUCGUACUAUUUUUCCGUUGAGGUUGAAUAUUAA
rnacentral:sRNA from 1 species